rnacentral:rRNA from 1 species
AGAGUUUGAUCAUGGCUCAGGAUGAACGCUAGCGGCAGGCCUAAUACAUGCAAGUCGAACGAGAAGUUUUUCUUCGGAAAAGCGGAAAGUGGCGCACGGGUGCGUAACGCGUAUGCAACCUACCCUUUACUGGGGGAUAGCCCGGAGAAAUCCGGAUUAAUACCCCAUGGUAUCACAAGAUGGCAUCUGAAAGUGAUUAAAGAUUUAUCGGUAAAGGAUGGGCAUGCGUGACAUUAGAUAGUUGGUGAGGUAACGGCUCACCAAGUCCACGAUGUCUAGGGGUUCUGAGAGGAUGAUCCCCCACACUGGUACUGAGAUACGGACCAGACUCCUACGGGAGGCAGCAGUAGGGAAUAUUGGUCAAUGGGCGAGAGCCUGAACCAGCCAUGCCGCGUGCAGGAAGACGGCCUUCUGGGUUGUAAACUGCUUUUAUAUGGGAAGAAAAGGCCCUUGCGAGGGACAUUGCCGGUACCAUAAGAAUAAGCACCGGCUAACUCCGUGCCAGCAGCCGCGGUAAUACGGAGGGUGCAAGCGUUGUCCGGAUUUAUUGGGUUUAAAGGGUGCGUAGGCGGACUUUUAAGUCAGUGGUGAAAUCCUGCAGCUAACUGUA